GCUGGGUGGAUUAGUGGCGAACGGGUGAGUAACACGUGAGUAACCUGCCCUUGACUCUGGGAUAAGCCUGGGAAACUGGGUCUAAUACUGGAUAUGACUUCUCACCGCAUGGUGGGGGGUGGAAAGAUUUAUUGGUCUUGGAUGGACUCGCGGCCUAUCAGCUUGUUGGUGAGGUAAUGGCUCACCAAGGCGACGACGGGUAGCCGGCCUGAGAGGGUGACCGGCCACACUGGGACUGAGACACGGCCCAGACUCCUACGGGAGGCAGCAGUGGGGAAUAUUGCACAAUGGGCGCAAGCCUGAUGCAGCGACGCCGCGUGAGGGAUGACGGCCUUCGGGUUGUAAACCUCUUUCAGUAGGGAAGAAGCGAAAGUGACGGUACCUGCAGAAGAAGCGCCGGCUAACUACGUGCCAGCAGCCGCGGUAAUACGUAGGGCGCGAGCGUUAUCCGGAAUUAUUGGGCGUAAAGAGCUCGUAGGCGGUUUGUCGCGUCUGCCGUGAAAGUCCGGGGCUUAACCCCGGAUCUGCGGUGGGUACGGGCAGACUAGAGUGCAGUAGGGGAGACUGGAAUUCCUGGUGUAGCGUG
rnacentral:rRNA from 1 species